rnacentral:rRNA from 1 species
UACGGGGGGGGCAAGCGUUGUUCGGAAUUACUGGGCGUAAAGGGUUUGUAAGUGGCUUGCUAAGUCAGACGUGAAAUCCCUCAGCUUAACUGGGGAACUGCGUCUGAGACUGGCAAGCUUGAGUGCAGGAGAGGAACGCGGAAUUCCAGGUGUAGCGGUGAAAUGCGUAGAUAUCUGGAGGAACACCGGUGGCGAAGGCGGCGUUCUGGACUGUAACUGACACUGAUGAACGAAAGCCAGGGGAGCAAACGGG